rnacentral:pre_miRNA from 1 species
CAUCCGUUUUGCCGCUGACUUUUGGGCACACGUUUGACCAUUAGUUUUAUUUAAAAAUUUUAUGUAAUUACAAUUUAUUUUGUUGUGUUGUUUUAUCACUAAUAAUAGUUUAAGUAUGAUUUAUAUUUUAUGCAUUUACAUAAUUUUUUUAAUAAGACGAAUGGUCAAACAUGUGUUCAAAAGUUAAUGGCAUCAUUAAUU